UUUUCUGAGAUUAAGAAAAAAAAAGAAAGAGAGAGGGUUUUUCUCUCUGGAGAAAACCCGGAACUGGCCAGGGGAUCCGGCUAUCAUCCUCGCCGUGGCUCCGUCGUGUCGGCCACCGUACACGGUGGCCGGAAAUCGCCCAGAGGCGAACGGCGGUGGAGGCAGGUGCCACUUGCACUGACGAUGUGACUGAGGCGGUGGGAUUAGGUGAUUUAGGAUUUCAGCUUUUUUGAAACCCUAAAUUGAUUAGUUGGGUCUGUUUGGGGUUAUUUGGGCUAGGGCUUUUUUAGGGAUUGGGCUAAUGUAAUGGGGUUAGGUUGGGUUUUUUAGUUGGUCCGUUGGGCUUAGUUAAAUUUGGGCCUGUGCAGUGAAUAUUGAGGAAUAAGUCAACUUAGCAAUUAUGACAAUUAAGUAGUUGACAGUUAGUCUGUGAAGAAGGUAGUAAUUUCUGUUAUAGAAUUAGUUGGAUUAACUAGAAUAAAAAUUAUUAGAGCUUAUAUCAACUUGUUAAUUAGCUCCUGCUAUAUAAAUAGCAUAGGUUUGGUUGUCUAGAUUUAAGUGAGUUUUUCAAUCAAAGAAUUAAGAGUUUACUUCUCCUAGUCUGUUAA